AGUUUGAUCAUGGCUCAGAUUGAACGCUGGCGGCAUGCGUAACACAUGCAAGUCGAACGGUGUUUGGUGCUUGCACCAGACAUAGUGGCGGACGGGUGAGUAAUGCGUAGGAAUCUGUCUUAGAGAGGGGGACAACCCGAGGAAACUUGGGCUAAAGCCGCAUAUUCUCGAGAGAGGAAAGCAGGGGACCGGAAACGGCCUUGUGCUCUAAGGUGAGCCUACGUCGGAUUAGCUAGUUGGUAGGGUAAAAGCCUACCAAGGCGAUGAUCUGUAGCUGGUCUGAGAGGACGGACAGCCACACUGGGACUGAGACACGGCCCAGACUCCUACGGGAGGCAGCAGUGGGGAAUAUUGGACAAUGGGGGGAACCCUGAUCCAGCGAUGCCGCGUGUGUGAAGAAGGCCUGCGGGUUGUAAAGCACUUUCAGUGGGAAAGAGAAGCGUCUUGUGAAUAAUGGGACGUGGAGACGUUACUCACAGAAGAAGCACCGGCUAACUCUGUG
rnacentral:rRNA from 1 species